rnacentral:rRNA from 1 species
AACGAACGCUGGCGGCAGGCUUAACACAUGCAAGUCGAACACCUGUAGCAAUACAGGAGUGGCAGACGGGUGAGUAACACGUGGGAACGUGCCCAAAGGUACGGAACAACUCCGGGAAACUGGAACUAAUACCGUAUGUGCCCGAAAGGGGAAAGAUUUAUCGCCUUUGGAUCGGCCCGCGUCUGAUUAGCUAGUUGGUGGGGUAAUGGCCUACCAAGGCGACGAUCAGUAGCUGGUCUGAGAGGAUGGCCAGCCACACUGGGACUGAGACACGGCCCAGACUCCUACGGGAGGCAGCAGUGGGGAAUAUUGGACAAUGGGCGCAAGCCUGAUCCAGCCAUGCCGCGUGAGUGAUGAAGGCCUUAGGGUUGUAAAGCUCUUUCGCCAGGGACGAUAAUGACGGUACCUGGAUAAGAAGCCCCGGCUAACUUCGUGCCAGCCGCCGCGGUAA